rnacentral:lncRNA from 1 species
GUGGGAAAUGCUCUGGUUCUAAUUUAUAAAAAUAGGUAGUAAAUAUAUAUGCAUAAAAACCAAAGAAAUAAAUCAAAACACUGCGAGGUAGCAUGGAAACUUCCGUUUUCUUUGUGCUUCUCUGCAUUCCGCAGUUUUCUACAGGCGGCAGGCUUUCGGUUCAAAUGGUCAAAUGGAAACGUUAGUGAUUAAAACACUUCCGCAGGAAUGUGACAGCGCCAGGGCUGAGUAGCCCUGGUCCCAUUCUGCCCUCAGGCAGCCGCCUUUCCGGCCACUCCCAGUGAGUCAACCACCCUGCCUGAGUGUUUCGUUUUUUUCUCUGCAAAAUGCAGAGGAUCCUCAUGGCCUGGCCUCCUCCUCCGGCUGUUGGCGGGCACAGCUACCAUCUGCGCGGAAACCCAGGUGAAGGGUUAUAAACUCUCAGGAUCCAAAAGCCAAAAUGACACCAGAAGGCACCUUGAGAAGCUUCACUCCUGCUGCUCCGUCUGCCUGGGUCCCCACCUCACCCCUGGAGUCACCACUUCAUUAGUUCCCACGUGUUCUUUCAGUGUUUAUACAAAUAGAGUCACGCUUACCCGAAAGGGAUGUUUUCAAUAUUUCAGUAACGCACGAAGCUCCUUGGCCAUGUCAGCAGGUAACGGUGGGCAAAAUGCGUGGACCUCUUGCCGGAGGGGCCCUGCAUCUCUUCCCGGCCGCCGCAGCACUGCCCCUUCUUUCUACGCCUGCGCUUUCAGCACCCCACAGAGUGGAGUCUCCUUUCGCCCCUCUGGCUCUGCUUUCCCACCGCCUCUGCACCCUCGCCCACCAACAACCUCCACCAGGGUCCAGCCUCGGGUCUACACCAACCCCGCCCCAACAAACACCGCCACAGGCACCUGUGGAGGGGCAUGUGGAUUCUGACCCGCACGACGUUCAAGGAGCAGGCGCUGCGCCAUUCCAAUCAAGGCCUCUCUGGAUUGGAAACCGCCCUCCGGAAAGGGGCUAAUGGGGAAACUCGGCUCUGGAGGACACCCCGGGCGUGUGCCCGUCAAUACACAUUUAUGGGGUGCUUGUUACGUGCCAGGAGUGGGCCGGGAGCAGGGGGCGGAGGGCCGCCAGGGUGUCACGGCCUCCUGAGGAGGUAGAACGUGUUGCGUAGGGUCCAGGAGCAAGCCCAGAGGCAGGUCCCUAAUGGGCGGAGCUUCUGGGGGCGCCUCAUCUGAGCAAGACGAGAGAGGCCAGUGGGGCGCUGCAGGCAGACGGGACCACGUGCGGAGGCCUUGAAACAAGCACGCCACAGCUCGUUCCUCCUCUCCUGCCGCUUCCUUUCCAUCUGGGGCCUUCUGGAGCUAACUCUGGAACCAAAGCGGUGACUUCAGUGGCGAACUGGGAGCAGGAGGAGUUGCAGGUGCUCCCAGCGUGGCAGAGGGUGGAGCUGUGGAGUCCCUGGGGGUCACAGACUGGGCCUGGUCCAGCUCGGGGCAAGGCUGGGUGGGGGUGGCACUGGGCAAGAGUCAGGAAAGGAAAUGCCUUUGCAUCCCAGGGCACUGUUUUCUAGGUUGCUUUGGAAACCUCCAAAAAGGCCAUAGCAAUGGAGGCUUCCAAGGAAGGGUCUCAAGAGG